rnacentral:ncRNA from 1 species
AAAAAUUAGCGAGGAAAGAAAAUCCUAUUCAGCUUGACUCUAGUCUGGCACUGUAAGGAGGCAUGAGAGGUGUAGCAUAAGUGGAAGAUGGCAACAUUGCCGGUGAAAUACCACUACUUUCAUCGUUUCCUUACAUACUCGGUUGGAUCGGAGCGCGUGCCCCGAGGGCUUCGUGCCCCCGCGGUCACGGUGUUCUAGAGCCAAAUGUGUCAGAGUGGCGUGAGGUCUUGGCUGAUCGCCGGUGAUACUCCCGCGUGAUCCGAUUCGAGGACACUGCCAGGCGGGGAGUUUGACUGGGGCGGUACAUCAGUCAAAGAAUAACGCAGGUGUCCUAAGGCCAGCUCAGCGAGGACAGAAACCUCGCGUAGAGCAAAAGGGCAAAAGCUGGCUUGAUCUCGAUGUUCAGUACGCAUAGAGACUGCGAAAGCACGGCCUAUCGAUCCUUUUGGCUUGAAGAGUUUUCAGCAAGAGGUGUCAGAAAAGUUACCACAGGAAUAACGUGGCGACCAAGCGUUCAUAGCGAUGUCGCUUUUUGAUCCUUCGAUGUCGGUUCUUCCUAUCAUUGCGAAGCAGAAUUCGCCAAGCGUCGGAUUGUUCACCCGCCAAUAGGGAACGUGAGCUGGGUUUAGACCGUCGUGAAACAGGUUAGUUUUACCCUACUGAUGACUAGUCAUUGCGAUAGUAAUCCUGCUCAGUACGAGAAGAACCGCAGAUUCAGACAUUUGAUUCAUGCACUCGGUUGAGCGGCCGGUGGUGCGAAGUUACCAUCCGUGGGAUUAUGCCUGAACGCCUCUAAGGCCGUAAUCUCUCUAGUCAAAAGUGGCGAUGAUAUCUCUAGGAGUCUCGUGAGUCGAAAGGCUCAAAACAAUAUGAUACUACUAGGCGGCCGGUCCACGCAGUCCGAUCGUCGCACGAGCCCGGUUUUCCGUACGGUGCCAUCGCCCGUCGUCGGGAUCUCACCGCUACGACGGCACGGCGUCUAACGGUCGAACAUGAGUUUCGCGAGUUCGAUGUCGAGACUCGGAAUCGUCUGUAGACGACUUAGGUACCUGGCGGGGUGUUGUACUCGGUAGAGCAGUUACCACGCUGCGAUCUGUUGAGACUCAGCCCCUGGCUUGGGGAUUC